rnacentral:rRNA from 1 species
UACGAAGGGGGCUAGCGUUGCUCGGAAUCACUGGGCGUAAAGCGCACGUAGGCGGCUUUCUAAGUCAGGGGUGAAAUCCUGGAGCUCAACUCCAGAACUGCCUUUGAUACUGGGGAUCUCGAGUCCGGGAGAGGUGAGUGGAACUCCGAGUGUAGAGGUGAAAUUCGUAGAUAUUCGGAAGAACACCAGUGGCGAAGGCGGCUCACCUGGCCCGGUACUGACGCUGAGGUGCGAAAGCGUGGGGAGCAAACAGG